rnacentral:rRNA from 1 species
CGUAGGAGGCAAGCGUUAUCCGGAGUUACUGGGCGUAAAGCGCAUGUAGGCGGUUGGGCAAGUUGAGUGUGAAAGCUACCGGCUAAACUGGGAGAGGACAUUUAAGACUGCCCGGCUAGAGGUUGGUAGAGGGGCGCAGAAUUCGGGGUGUAGCGGUGAAAUGUGUAGAGAUCCCGAGGAAUACCAGUGGUGAAGACGGCGCCCUGGGCCAAUACUGACGCCGAGAUGCGAAAGCGUGGGGAGCGAACGGGAUUAGAGACCCCGGUAGUCCACGCCGUAAACGAUGCUUGCUAGGUGUCCACUGCCCGACAGGGCAGGGGGUGCCGCAGCUAACGCGCUAAGCAAGCCGCCUGGGGAGUACGGUCGCAAGGCUA